rnacentral:rRNA from 1 species
UACGUAGGGUGCAAGCGUUAAUCGGAAUUACUGGGCGUAAAGCGUGCGCAGGCGGUCCGUUAAGACAGAUGUGAAAUCCCCGGGCUCAACCUGGGAACUGCAUUUGUGACUGCAUCGCUGGAGUGCGGCAGAGGGGGAUGGAAUUCCGCGUGUAGCAGUGAAAUGCGUAGAUAUGCGGAGGAACACCGAUGGCGAAGGCAAUCCCCUGGGCCUGCACUGACGCUCAUGCACGAAAGCGUGGGGAGCAAACAGG